GGAGAGCUUGCCAAUGAAGGAGUUGGUGGUGGUGGUAGGAAGAAUGGAAGUGAGGAUGAAAGUGAGGUAGGAGAGGGUGAGAGAGAGGGUGGUCUGGAGGCAUUGAGGGGGUUAAGGGGGCUGGUGAGGGGUUGGUGACGGAGGAGUAAUGGUGGAGGGGUUGGUGGAGGGAGGAGUAAUGGUGGAAAAGGUGAUGACUGUCAGAGUUAUAAUACGGAAUUUUAACUUCCGUAUUCUAUUUUAUUGAAUACGGAAGUUUAAGUUCCGUAGGGCAUUUAUGGGUUAAAAAAAAAGAGGUGGGGCGCGGAGCCCCAUAGGGGGGCCCCAAACCCAACUCCCG
rnacentral:lncRNA from 1 species